rnacentral:rRNA from 1 species
GUGGGGAAUCUUCCGCAAUGGACGAAAGUCUGACGGAGCAACGCCGCGUGAGUGAAGAAGGUUUUCGGAUCGUAAAGCUCUUUCGUUAGGGACGAACGUGCUCUUUGUGAAUAAUGAGGAGUAAUGACGGUACCUAAAUAAGAAGCCACGGCUAACUACGUGCCAGCAGCCGCGGUAAUACGUAGGUGGCAAGCGUUGUCCGGAAUUAUUGGGCGUAAAGCGCGCGCAGGCGGGAUAUCAAGUCUGUCUUAAAAGUGCGAGGCUCAACCUCGUGAGGGGACAGCAACUGGUAUUCUUGAGUGUCGGAGAGGAAAGUGGAAUUCCAAGUGUAGCGGUGAAAUGCGUAGAGAUUUGGAAGAACACCAGUGGCGAAGGCGACUUUCUGGACGAUGUCUGACGCUGAGGCGCGAAAGCUAGGGGAGCGAACGGGAUUAGAUACCCCGGUAGUCC